ACACGUGAUUCAGAGUUUGAUCCUGGCUCAGGACGAACGCUGGCGGCGUGCUUCAUACAUGCAAGUCGAACGAGAAGUCACCUUCGGGUGAUGGAAAGUGGCGGACGGGUGAGUAAUGUGUAGAGAAUCUGCCCUAGAGAGGGGGACAACAGAGGGAAACUUCUGCUAAUACCCCAUAUGAGCGUAACUGAAAUGUUAUUCUUGAAAACUCCGGUGCUCUAGGAUGAGUCUGCAUCUGAUUAGCUAGUUGGGGGUGUAAUGGACCACCAAGGCGACGAUCAGUAGCUGGUUUGAGAGGAUGAUCAGCCACAAUGGGACUGAGACACGGCCCAU
rnacentral:rRNA from 1 species